UACGAGAGGCCCAAACGUUAUUCGGAAUUACUGGGCUUAAAGAGUUCGUAGGCGGCGCAGAAAGUAGGGUGUGAAAGCCCUCGGCUCAACCGAGGAAUUGCGCUCUAAACUACUGUGCUUGAGGAAGCUAGAGGUGAGCGGAACUGAUGGUGGAGCGGUGAAAUGCGUUGAUAUCAUCAGGAACACCGGGAGGCGAAGGCGGCUCACUGGGGCUUUUCUGACGCUGAGGAACGAAAGCCAGGGGAGCGAACGGGG
rnacentral:rRNA from 1 species